rnacentral:lncRNA from 1 species
CACAAAUCUUUUUUAUUAUUUCUGGUUUCACACAAAUCUGUCUCAUCUAAUUUGAGUGUUUCUGCGUGCAGAUUAAACUUGAACAGAUUUUAUAUAAAUCACAGGGACAAGUUUUACUUUUAUUUAAUAAAAAACUUACAUCACAUGUUUUUUAAUCUUCAUGAUUUCAGUUUCGUGCCUGAUUUAUCAGAACCUUCAGAAGAAAUCAGGAUCUUUGUGAAUCUGUUCUGUGCAGCAGCAGAGAGAGAACAGCAGACAGGAGAGAAGACACUGGAGCUGUUAUCAUCAGUGUGCAGAUAUCAAACACUCCCUCUUAAACAGAAAUGGUGUGAUUUCCUGCUGGACCUGUACUCAAAUGAUCCUGAAACAGGUCUGAGUCUCCUUCCAUCAUUACAGUCAGUUUUCCAGUCAGCUCCUGCAGUCUGGAUCAUAGACCUCUCAGAGAGAAAGAGCUCCAUCCUCCUGGAAGUGCUGAAACUCCAAUCAGAGAAGAAACAAGUGGAGCUGACAGGCUGCUCAGAUGAAGAGAGUGAAGUGAGGAGUUUCCUACAGUGUCUGCCUUAUAUCUCACAGCUCAGUGUUUCUCAGCGGUCAGAUCUUUCUAAAGGAAUCAGGUUCUUUGUGAAUCUGUUCUGUGCAGCAGCAGAGAGAGAACAGCAGACAGGAGAGAAGACACUGGAGCUGUUAUCAUCAGUGUGCAGAUAUCAAACAUUCCCUUUUAAAGACAUGUAUGUGAUGAAUAUCAGAGCGAUUUCCUGCUGGAUCUGUACUCCCACCUGA